rnacentral:rRNA from 1 species
CAGUAGCCACGGUAAUACGUAGGGUGCGAGCGUUAAUCGGAAUUACUGGGCGUAAAGCGUGCGCAGGCGGUUUUGUAAGACAGAGGUGAAAUCCCCGGGCUCAACCUGGGAACUGCCUUUGUGACUGCAAGGCUAGAGUACGGCAGAGGGGGAUGGAAUUCCGCGUGUAGCAGUGAAAUGCGUAGAUAUGCGGAGGAACACCGAUGGCGAAGGCAAUCCCCUGGGCCUGUACUGACGCUCAUGCACGAAAGCGUGGGGAGCAAACAGGAUUAGAUACCCCCGUAGUCCCUGUCUCUUAUAC